rnacentral:rRNA from 1 species
GUGGGGAAUAUUGCGCAAUGGGCGAAAGCCUGACGCAGCGACGCCGCGUGAGGGAUGAAGGUUUUCGGAUCGUAAACCUCUGUCAGAAGGGAAGAAACUACGUUGUGCUAAUCAGCAGCGUACUGACGGUACCUUCAAAGGAAGCACCGGCUAACUCCGUGCCAGCAGCCGCGGUAAUACGGAGGGUGCAAGCGUUAAUCGGAAUUACUGGGCGUAAAGCGCACGUAGGCUGUAGUGUAAGUCAGGGGUGAAAUCCCACGGCUCAACCGUGGAACUGCCUUUGAUACUGCACAACUUGAAUCCGGGAGAGGGUGGCGGAAUUCCAGGUGUAGGAGUGAAAUCCGUAGAUAUCUGGAGGAACAUCAGUGGCGAAGGCGGCCACCUGGACCGGUAUUGACGCUGAGGUGUGAAAGCGUGGGGAGCAAACAGGAUUAGAAACCCUGGUAGUCC